rnacentral:rRNA from 1 species
AUUCUGGAACAAAAAACUGAGGAGACUAAUGAUGAUGCUGACAUUUUCGCACAUCAGACGAUUCAGUCAUCCGUGCAAAAUUGCUCUGCCGCAGAGAUAGAUUUGCAGGAUAAGGAGCUACAACAAAGUGAAGCUGCUUUACAAGAAUGCUUCAAUCCUCCAAUUGUGGUGCCUGUGUCAAGACCACAGGAGGUUGAGAAGGCGAGGAGGGAUCUCCCAAUAAUAAUGAUGGAGCAGGAAAUAAUGGAAGCUAUCUACGAAAAUACUGUGGUAAUUCUAUGCGGAGAAACAGGUUGUGGUAAAACUACUCAGGUCCCUCAGUUCUUAUAUGAAGCCGGCUUUGGCACAAGCAAUCGAGCUGGUAGAAAAGGGAUGAUUGGUAUCACCCAACCACGACGUGUUGCUGUUCUUGCCACAUCCAAGAGGGUGUCAUAUGAGUUAGGACUUAAGCUAGGAAAGGAGGUCGGUUUUCAAGUUAGGCAUGAUAAAGAAGUUGGAAGUAAAUGCUCCAUCAAGUUUAUGACAGAUGGCAUUUUGCUGCGAGAGAUCCAGAGUGACAUUUUGUUGAAGCACUAUUCCGUGAUCAUCUUGGAUGAGGCACAUGAAAGGAGUUUGAACACAGAUAUACUUAUUGGGAUGCUUUGUAGAAUUAUAAAGCUUCGCAAGGAUACAUAUGCAGAUCAACAAAAAAAAAUACGCUCUGCAAAGAACGUUAAGCCAGAAGAUAUGAUUAGUCAGCUGAAAGUUGUGCUGAUGAGUGCUACCUUGCAGUUAAAGGAAUUUAUUUCAAACAGAAGAUUGUUUGAUGUGAUUCCACCAACUGUAGAGGUACCUGCACGGCAAUUUCCAGUAACAAUUCACUUCACGAAGAGGACACAUGAUGAUUAUUUAGCACAUGCUUAUAAAAAGGUUCUGUCAAUCCACAAGAGUCUACCACCAGGUGGAAUCCUUGUAUUUGUUACUGGACAAUGAGAAGUUGAUUAUUUAUGUAAGAAACUGCAAAGAGCAUCCAAACGACAAAUUGGUAAGAAGCCUGAAAGGGUUGGAGAUGAGUGUGGUUCAAGACAAGAAAUAGAUGAGAAGGAAAUUUUUGAAGCAUAUGAUAUUGAUAGAACUGAAGCUGAGCACCAAGAGGACAUGUUUUCCUCAUAUGGUGAAGAUGAAAUGGAUGAUGGACUAAAUGUCGAUUCUUCUGAUGCUGAAAUAGAGAGUGAGACUGACACUGACAGUGAUGAUGAGGAUUCCGCUGCACAUGAAACCACAGAAGAUGGACCAGUGUUAUCAUUUUUGAAACAUGCUGAGAGUUCAUCUGUACUGAAGGCAUCCUUUAAAGCUAUAUCAGGUAUAUCAGGAGAAUCGGAAGCUGCUGAGGAAUUCAGCAAUGUGACAAUUGCGGAAAAGUCAAACCCUUCUAAUCCUUCUUUCAGUAAACAUACAGAACCUACAUCUGUUUCACACGGUAGGCUUCAUGUUUUACCACUUUAUGCAAUGCAACCAGCUUCGCAGCAGCUCAGAGUGUUUCGCGAUAUUCCUGAAGGGGAAAGAUUAGUUGUUGUGGCAACUAAUGUUGCAGAAACCUCUUUAACAAUUCCUGGUAUAACAUAUGUGGUUGAUACUGGAAAAGAAAAGGUUAAGAACUAUGAUCAUGCUACGGGGAUGGCAAGUUAUGAAGUCCAGUGGAUAAGCAAGGCUUCAGCAUCCCAACGUGCUGGGAGAGCUGGAAGAACUGGGCCUGGGCACUGUUACCGUCUCUACUCAGGUGCAGCAUAUGGUAAAGAUGAUUUAUUUCCUGAGUUCUCUGAGCCAGAGAUCAAGAAAAUGCCAGUUGAUGGCCUUGUGCUUAUGCUCAAGUUUAUGAAAAUUGAUAAGGUUGAAAACUUUCCUUUCCCUACGCCUCCUAACAAUGAAAGUUUGGUUGAAGCCAAGCGUUGCUUGAAGACAUUAGAAGCACUUGACAGCAAAGAAAAACUUACAUCAAUGGGAAAGGCUAUGGCGCAAUACCCCAUGAGCCCACGACAUUCGCGUCUUCUUCUGACAAUAAUUAAAAUUUUGAAGAGCCAGCAAGGCUAUGCCAGAUCUAACUUCAUACUGGGAUAUGCAACUGCUGCUGCAUCAGCUUUGAGUUAUGCAAAUCCUUUUCUCAUUCAGGGAGACACUAGUAGAGAAUCAAACCAGGAUGGCCCGGAUCCAGAACAUAAGGAUCAAAAUGAAAGAAAGAGACAGAAGAAACUCAAGGCCAUGGUUCGAGAGGCACGCAGAGAUUUUUCCAUCCCUAGUAGUGAUGCUUUAACCAUUUCUCAUGCUUUGCGGUCAUUUGAGUGUUCAAGGAACCCAGUGGAAUUCUGCAGAGAGUACUCACUUCACCUCAAAACAAUGGAAGAGAUGUCAAAAUUGAGAAAGCAUCUUCUUCGAUUAAUAUUUCACCAUAGCAAAUUUUGUGAUGAAUUUGCUUGGAAUUAUGGAGGUUCUCAGGAUGUUGAACAGGCCUGGAGGAGUGGAACCGACAAAAAACCAAUGCUGAAUGAAGAGGAACUUCUUGGGCAAGGAAUAUGUGCUGGGUGGGCCGAUAGGGUUGCAAAGAAGAUUAACACUUUUUCUGGAUUGUCGAAAGAGGAUCGAAAGGUUCGAGCUGGACGUUAUCAAUCUUGCAUCCUCGAUGAUACAAUAUAUCUCCACCGAUCAUCUUCUGUUGCCCGAACUUCACCAAAGUUUGUAGUUUACUCGGAACUACUAAAUACAAAGAGAUCGUACAUGCAUGGUGUGACCAGUAUAAAGCCUGGAUGGCUUUUCAAAUAUGCUAGUUCUCUCUGCACCUUCUCAGCGCCACUGGAAGAUCCAAAACCCUAUUACAAGCCUCAGAAUGACCAGGUCUACUGUUAUGUUAGUCCCGUCUUUUCUAGACAUAAUUGGCAGCUUCCGCUGCACAGUUUACCCAUCGAAGACCCCACCAGGCGGUUGCAGGUAUUUGCAUGGGCUUUGCUGAAAGGGGAUGUCUUGCCAUGUCUAAGGGUGGUUCAAAAGUUCUUGGCUCUGUCACCAUCUGCUGUCCUUGGGCCAGCCAGCCAAAGAAGAGUUGGAGAUCUUCUUAGCAGGAUGAACAUUGGUGGAAAAUUAAAAGACAGCCGGAGAGCAUUAAGAGAUGCAUGGAGUAGUGAUCCAGAUUUUCUUUAUCCUGAGAUUCAGGCAUGGAUACAGGAUAAAUAUCAGAGCCAGUUUGAAGCAAUAUGGGAACAAAUGCACCAAGAAGUUCAGCUUGAGGGACAUGAACUUUUCCCAAAGAGGUUCAAGAAAGUUGAGGGGUAG